AGCUUCUGCAGCUCGCUUUCCAGCGGUUUUAUCAGCAACGAAUUGUUGUUCAGCGCCACUUCACCGGUGGCUCUGACCUGCUCGCCGUCCAGGGGGAUAUCGAGAUGUAAGCGCCCACUGACAUCACCGCCAAUCUGCAGCUGAUCCAGCGCCGCCCCCAGCGAAUCGUGCAACGGUGUCUGCAUGAAGUAGUCAUGUACGUCGCUGCCCGCACCCGCGACUUCGGCGUCGAUCAGCAACCGCUCUUUCAGGUAAUCCGGGAUCACCGCGCUGAUAUUUUUGCCCGCCACCUUGCCCAAGCGGGUUUGCGGCGCAUGCAUCCACAGCCCCUCGUUGGCGAAAUCGAGAUCGAUCGCCAAAUCGGUCAGCGCCGGCCAGCCCGGUUGGAACUGGAAGGUGGCGUGACGCAGCGGUACG
rfam:Serratia marcescens subsp. marcescens Db11, complete genome